GCGAUGGUGGUUCAGUGGUAGAAUUCUCACCUCUUUAUUCAGGAAACCCGGGUUCAAUUCCUGGCCGAUACA
rnacentral:tRNA from 1 species